rnacentral:ncRNA from 1 species
AUGUAAAGGAGAGAAGGUUAGCACUUCCUUCACAAGGGUGGAAAAGGUUUUGGCCUGCAAUACACACACAGUUAUAUGUUGCCAUCUACUUUAUUUU